rnacentral:rRNA from 1 species
UGGCUAUCUGGUCGAUCCGCAGACGGCCGAGUCGAUCAAGUCUGUGCUGAAUGCCACGGCUUCAAUCCGCGCGAUUGCAAAUGUGGUGAAUGUCGAGGCGGGAUCGUUUGAUGUUCUGAUCGACUCGACCGAAGCGGGCGCUGGCUGGGCAGAUGAAUCCUCGGCGACGGGUGAAACUGGCACGCCGACCAUCGAGCGGAUCACCAUUCCGCUUCAUGAACUCAGUGCGCUGCCGAAGGCAUCGCAGCGUCUUCUGGAUGACAGUGCAUUCGACAUCGAGGCCUGGCUUGCAGGUCGGAUCGCCGACAAGUUUGCACGCGCCGAGGCGGCCGCAUUCAUCAAUGGUGACGGUGUCGACAAACCGACCGGCAUUUUGAACCACGCGGCGAUCGACAAUGAUGUCUGGACUUGGGGCAAUAUUGGCUAUGUCCCGACGGGCGUUGACAGCGAUUUCAAUGGCGGGGAUGCCAUUAUCGACCUCGUUUAUGCGCUGGAUGCCCAGUAUCGCGCCAACGGUACCUUCGUGAUGAACUCCAAGACGGCGGGCGCAGUGCGCAAGCUCAAGGAUGGUGACGGCCGCUUCCUUUGGUCCGAUGGCCUUGCCGCCGGUGAACCGGCGCGUCUUCUGGGCUAUCCGGUGCUGAUUGCGGAAGACAUGCCGGACAUUGCGUCGGGCGCCGACGCGAUCGCCUUUGGCGACUUCAACGCAGGCUACACGGUCGCCGAACGCCCGGACCUGCGGGUGCUGCGGGAUCCGUUCAGCGC